ACAGGGACUGAUUCCUGCAGUGAUAAUAAAGGAUGGUCUUUAUACUGGACUGGACCCCUGUCCCUCCCUCCAACAGCUCCCCCUGCAGGACAGAUCUCCCACCGCUCCCUUCACCACUUCACUUUUACCCACUCAGUGGUCAAACAUUCACCAAACACCUUUCCCAUCAUCAUCAGAGACAGACUCUAAGCUGCUGGGCCGUGAGUUCCUCAUCUGUCCACCAGAGGGCCCCACUAGACCAGAGAUUAUGUCAAGAUGGACGACACAGUAACUGGACAUGAAGCCUCGCAGGGAUCAAACUCUUCCUUUAAUGGGACAGUGGGAUGUAAUUUAAUGGCUCAACAAGGCUGGUUCUGUGAUGAUGG